rnacentral:rRNA from 1 species
AGUAACGCGUGGGUAACCUGCCUCAUACAGGGGAAUAGCAGCUGGAAACGGCUGAUAAAACCGCAUAAGCGCACAGUGCCGCAUGGCACAGUGUGAAAAACUCCGGUGGUAUGAGAUGGACCCGCGUCUGAUUAGCUGGUUGGUGGGGUAACGGCCCACCAAGGCGACGAUCAGUAGCCGGCCUGAGAGGGUGACCGGCCACAUUGGGACUGAGACACGGCCCAA